rnacentral:rRNA from 1 species
CAUGCAAGUCGUACGAGAAAUCCUGGGCGACUGGGAGAGUAAAGUGGCGCACGGGUGAGUAACGCGUGGACAACUUGCCCCUCAAUUAGGGAUAACUCUUCGAAAGGAGCGCUAAUACCUAAUAUUAUUCUAAUUCCUUCGGGAAUGAGAAUGAAAGGUGGCCUAUGCAUGCAAGCUACUGUUGAGGGAUGGGUCCGCGUACCAUUAGCUAGUUGGUAGGGUAAUGGCUUGCCAAGGCGACGAUGGUUAGCUGGUCUAAGAGGAUGGCCAGCCACACUGGAACUGAGACACGGUCCAGACUCCUACGGGAGGCAGCAGUGGGGAAUAUUGCGCAAUGGGCGAAAGCCUGACGCAGCAACGCCGCGUGCGGGAAGAAGGCCUUCGGGUUGUAAACCGCUUUCAGUAGGGACGAAAUGGACGG